UACGGGGGGGGCAAGCGUUGCUCGGAAUUACUGGGCGUAAAGGGCGCGUAGGCGGCCGCUUAAGCGUGUCGUGAAAGCGCGGGGCUCAACCCCGCGUCGGCGAUGCGAACUGGGGGGCUGGAGCAUGUCAGAGGCAGGCGGAAUUCCUGGUGUAGCGGUGAAAUGCGCAGAUAUCAGGAAGAACACCCGUGGCGAAGGCGGCUCUCUGGGACGGUACUGACGCUGAGACGCGAAAGCGUGGGGAGCGAACAGG
rnacentral:rRNA from 1 species